rnacentral:rRNA from 1 species
GAUGAACGCUGGCGGCGUGCUUAACACAUGCAAGUCGAACGGGAAACCUUUUAUUGAAGCUUCGGCAGAUUUAGCUGGUUUCUAGUGGCGGACGGGUGAGUAACGCGUGGGUAACCUGCCUUAUACAGGGGGAUAACAACCAGAAAUGGUUGCUAAUACCGCAUAAGCGCACAGGACCGCAUGGUCCGGUGUGAAAAACUCCGGUGGUAUAAGAUGGACCCGCGUUGGAUUAGCUAGUUGGCAGGGUAACGGCCUACCAAGGCUACGAUCCAUAGCCGGCCUGAGAGGGUGAACGGCCACAUUGGGACUGAGACACGGCCCAGACUCCUACGGGAGGCAGCAGUGGGGAAUAUUGCACAAUGGGGGAAACCCUGAUGCAGCGACGCCGCGUGAAGGAAGAAGUAUCUCGGUAUGUAAACUUCUAUCAGCAGGGAAGAUAGUGACGGUACCUGACUAAGAAGCCCCGGCUAACUACGUG